rnacentral:rRNA from 1 species
CGGCAACAGCUCAAAUUUGAAAUCUGGCUCCUUUGGAGUCCGAGUUGUAAUUUGGAGAGGAUGUUUCGGGCACGGUCCGGGCUUAAAUUUCUUGGAACAGAAUGUCACGGAGGGUGAGAAUCCCGUCUGGAGCUCGGACACGACCCAUGUGAAACUCCUUCGAC